rnacentral:rRNA from 1 species
CCUACGGGGGGCAGCAGUGGGGGAUAUUGCACAAUGGAGGAAACUCUGAUGCAGCGACGCCGCGUGAGGGAAGACGGUCUUCGGAUUGUAAACCUCUGUCUUUGGGGAAGAAAAUGACGGUACCCAAAGAGGAAGCUCCGGCUAACUACGUGCCAGCAGCCGCGGUAAUACGUAGGGAGCGAGCGUUGUCCGGAAUUACUGGGUGUAAAGGGAGCGUAGGCGGGCGAGAAAGUUGAAUGUUAAAUCUACCGGCUUAACUGGUAGCUGCGUUCAAAACUUCUUGUCUUGAGUGAAGUAGAGGCAGGCGGAAUUCCUAGUGUAGCGGUGAAAUGCGUAGAUAUUAGGAGGAACACCAGUGGCGAAGGCGGCCUGCUGGGCUUUAACUGACGCUGAGGCUCGAAAGCGUGGGGAGCAAACAGGAUUAGAUACCCU